rnacentral:lncRNA from 1 species
ACUGGAACUGUUACCAACUGCAACUGUUACCACAGCUAUUGCUGCUGCUACUGCUGCUGUUGCUACAAUUAUUAAUAUCAUUAUGACAUUCCUCCUGCUGCUGCUACUACUGGUGCUGUUAAUUUUACAGUUUCACUGCUAACAUUUAUUGAUCACUUAACAUUGCUAAGCUUGUGAUAAGUGCUUUAUAUAUGACAUAUCAAUUUCUUCACACAACAACCUUGAAAUAUGGAUUUUUUUUUUUUUUUUUUGAGAUGGACUCUCACUCAGUCACCCAGGCUGGAAUGCAAUGGUGCAAUCUUGGCUCACUGCAACCUCCGCCUCCCAGGUUCAAGCAAUUCUCCUGCCCCAGCCUCCCGAAUAGCUGAGAUUACAGGCGCCUGCCAUCAUGCUCAGCUU